AAAGUACUCCCUCCGUCCCAAAAUUCUUGUCUUAAAUUUGUCUAGAUAUGGAUGUAUCAAGUACAUCCAUAUCUAGACAAAUUUAAGACAAGAAUUUUGGGACAUAGGGAGUAGUUG
rfam:Triticum aestivum genome assembly, contig: Triticum_aestivum_CS42_TGACv1_scaffold_592080_7BS